rnacentral:tRNA from 1 species
GCGAGUGUGGUGAAAUUGGUAGACACGCCAGAUUGGAGUUCUGGUGCAGUAAUGAGUGGGGGUUUGAGUUCCUCCACUCACAC